rnacentral:rRNA from 1 species
UGGGGAAUUUUGCGCAAUGGGGGAAACCCUGACGCAGCAACGCCGCGUGGAGGAUGAAAUCCCUUGGGAUGUAAACUCCUUUCGAUAGGGAAGAUAAUGACGGUACCUAUAGAAGAAGCCCCGGCUAACUUCGUGCCAGCAGCCGCGGUAAUACGAGGGGGGCAAGCGUUGUUCGGAUUUAUUGGGCGUAANNNNGUGCGUAGGCGGUUUGGCACCUCUUGUGUGAANNCUUUGGGCUCAACCCAAAGUCUGCAUAAGAAACUGCCGGGCUUGAGUAUGGGAGAGGUGAGUGGAAUUUCCGGUGUAGCGGUGAAAUGCGUAGAUAUCGGAAGGAACACCUGUGGCGAAAGCGGCUCACUGGACCAUUACUGACGCUGAGGCACGAAAGCUAGGGGAGCNNACA